GACGAACCGUGCAAACGUUGUUCGGAAUCACUGGGCUUAAAGGGCGCGUAGGCGGGCGGGCAAGUCGGAGGUGAAAGCCCACAGCUCAACUGUGGAAGUGCCUUCGAUACUGCUCGUCUAGAGGGAGGUAGGGGCGUGCGGAACUUCCGGUGGAGCGGUGAAAUGCGUAGAUAUCGGAAGGAACACCGGUGGCGAAAGCGGCGCGCUGGAUCUCUACUGACGCUGAGGCGCGAAAGCUAGGGGAGCAAAC
rnacentral:rRNA from 1 species